CCCAGUAGCGGCGAGUGAAGCGGCAAGAGCUCAGAUUUGAAAUCGUGUUUCGGCACGAGUUGUAGAGUGUAGGCGGGAGUCUCUGUGGAGCGCGGUGUCCAAGUCCCUUGGAACAGGGUGCCUGAGAGGGUGAGAGCCCCGUAGGGUGCUGCGCGAAGCUUUUGAGGCCCUGCUGACGAGUCGAGUUGUUUGGGAAUGCAGCUCCAAGCGGGUGGUAAAUUCCAUCUAAGGCUAAAUAUUGGCGAGAGACCGAUAGCGAACAAGUACUGUGAAGGAAAGAUGAAAAGCACUUUGAAAAGAGAGUGAAACAGCACGUGAAAUUGUUGAAAGGGAAGGGUAUUGGGCUCGACAUGGGGGGUGCGCACCGCUGUCUCUUGUAGGCGGCGCUCUGGGCGCCCUCUGGGCCAGCAUCGGUUCCUGCUGCGGGAGAAGGGGCUCCGGAAAGUGGCUCUUCGGAGUGUUAUAGCCGGGGCCAGAUGCCGCGUGUGGGGACCGAGGACUGCGGCUUCUGUCUCGGAUGCUG
rnacentral:rRNA from 1 species